rnacentral:rRNA from 1 species
CUACGGGCCGCUGCAGUGAGGAAUAUUGCACAAUGGGGGGAACCCUGAUGCAGCAACGCCGCGUGGAGGAUGACGCAUUUCGGUGUGUAAACUCCUUUUAUAUGUCAAGAAAAUGACGGUAGCAUAUGAAUAAGCACCGGCUAACUCCGUGCCAGCAGCCGCGGUAAUACGGAGGGUGCAAGCGUUACUCGGAAUCACUGGGCGUAAAGGACGCGUAGGCGGGUUGGAAAGUCAGGUGUGAAAUCCUACAGCUUAACUGUAGAACUGCACUUGAAACUUCUAAUCUAGAGUAUGGGAGGGGGAGAUGGAAUUAGUGGUGUAGGGGUAAAAUCCGUAGAUAUCACUAGGAAUACCUAAAGCGAAGGCGAUCCCCUGGAACAUUACUGACGCUAAGGCGUGAAAGCGUGGGGAGCAAACCGGAUUAGAUACCCCGGUAGUC